rnacentral:ncRNA from 3 species
CAAGAAGUAGUUUAAUUAGAAUACCAGC